rnacentral:rRNA from 1 species
GACGAAGGGGGCUAGCGUUGUUCGGAAUUACUGGGCGUAAAGCGCGUGUAGGCGGUUGCCCAAGUCGGGUGUGAAAGCCUUGAGCUCAACUCAAGAAAUGCACUCGGUACUGGGUGACUAGAGGACCGGAGAGGAUAGUGGAAUUCCCAGUGUAGUGGUGAAAUACGUAGAGAUUGGGAAGAACACCAGUGGCGAAGGCGGCUAUCUGGACGGUUUCUGACGCUAAGACGCGAAAGCGUGGGGAGCAAACGGG